GUAUGACUUAACUCUUAGAGCUGGGAGUGAAACAAGAGAUAUUUAGGAAACAUAUCUCACUUGAUUUCUUCUUUUCAAUCUCUACAAUUUUUUCCUCAAGUGAUGAUUUUUCACUCAAAAGCCUCUUUUUUGUUUCUUCUGCGGUACGCAACAUACAACGAGCUUUCAACUCUUCAUGGAUCUUAUCAAAGACCUGAUUAUUUGCGUCGAUCAAUUCUUUCGGAGUAGUUUUCUUUGAACCUUGAGAACUCAACUUUGGAAGCCGCAUUUCUAAGUUUCGCUUCUCUGUUAGGGCAUCCUUAAGCUCUACAUCUUUUUCAUUGCACAAUGUAUUGAAUUUAUCACAAUCAUAAAUAGCCAUUUCUAAGUUUUGCUUCUCAAAAUUCAAGACGUCUUUCAAGUUAUCCAACACUUUCUGCAUCCGUGAUUCUUGAUUUUUCUUUACAUGUAAAUCUUCCCAAUUGUUAUUCAUUAGACAUGUAGAACUUGUCUCAUUAGAAGUAGUUGAAGUUGUAAAGAUAUUGAAAAUUGAAGCAGGAAGGUCAUUCUUGGGAUUCUUCAAAUGAGAUACUAGCGCCAUCAUGCUCUCUUUUAACAAUUUUUGGUCAUGCACUAAACGAAAUUCCAUUACUUCUCGGUUCUUUCCCUCCUCUUCAAGUUGAUUCUUAACUUCCAUUAGUUUGAUCUCUACACUCUCUCGUUUAUAGCGUUCUUCUUCUGCUUCCUUUUGUUGUGCUCGAAGUUGUUCUUGAAUUUCAUUUCUAGAUAUUCUACUUGCUGAAUUAAUUCCAGAUCCUUUACCAAGAAUGUACUUUGAUUUUUCUGCCAUUAUUUGCACAAAUGCAGCAUUAAUAAUAGGAUCCACAUCGGUACCCUCGUCAAUAUCUUGAAUUUUUUCAGCAAUAACGUCUUUCACUUUGUCAUUGACUUCAGCAGAAGCACUAGUAACCCAUUGCCCAUUUGGCUUCAUGUGAGUUAUUUCCCAAAGUUUUUGAAAAUUUGGCUCUUUUCCAGUGGUUGUAUUCCUCGCUUCAUAAGACACCGCUUGAAAAGUUUUUCUCCAGCAAAUAUGAUUCACUUCUUGUUUUGCCUUGUUAUUUUUGUUUCUUUCACUCAUUUUCUUAAAUUCAUCAGAGCUGAAGUAGUCUACCAAGAAUUUCCAUUCAGUUUCAUUACCAUCUGUUGGUAUAUUUUGUAGACUCUCCUCUUUUGUAGAAAAUUUCUUAAAGUGAUCAUGAUGUCUGCUCCGACGAUAUUGAUAUAAAUUUUUUGCUGUUUGAAGAAUGGUAUCACGAUUGUGUUGUAUGUUCGAAAGCUGAAAGGUGUCCAGCAUAUAAGCAACAAUUCUAUUCUUUGCUAGAUCAGGAACUCCCUUCCAAUUCUUCACAUCAUGUCUAGCAUUAUGGAGAACUUUCACAGAGAGCUCGGUAAUAAAAUCUUUAGCUCCAGGACCUACUGCAACUGUUCGAUCUGGUGGAAUGAUCACCUUCAACUUUCCAUUGUCAUUUUCCUUAUGUUUCUUUUGGGUUGAAAUCCUUGUUGUCUUUCCUCUUCCCUUGAUUUUUUUUUCUGGAGGGGGGAUUGCACUUACAUCAGUAGUUUCAUUAUCAUUAGAAAUAUGCAUAUUUUUCAUCAUGGUUGGCUGUUUACCACUAGAAACAGGUUGUAGUAUUGCUCCAACACCAACAACCUUAGCUUUAGCCGUGUCAAUAGAUGGAGGAUGACACCCA
rnacentral:misc_RNA from 1 species